rnacentral:rRNA from 1 species
UGCCAGCCGCCGCGGUAAUACGGAGGGUACGAACGUUAAUCGGAGUUACUGGGCGUAAAGCGCGCGUAGGCGGUUUGAUAAGUGGGACGUGAAAGCCCCGGGCUUAACCUGGGAACUGCAUUCGAUACUGCUAAGCUAGAGUAUGGAAGAGGGAAGUGGAAUUCCGGGUGUAGCGGUGAAAUGCGUAGAUAUCCGGAGGAACACCAGUGGCGAAGGCGACUUCCUGGUCCAAUACUGACGCUGAUGUGCGAAAGCGUGGGGAGCAAACAGGAUUAGAUA